UACGUAGGGGGCAAGCGUUGUCCGGAAUCAUUGGGCGUAAAGAGCGUGUAGGCGGUCCGGUAAGUCGGUUGUGAAAGUCCAGGGCUCAACCCUGGGAUGCCGACCGAUACUGUCGGACUAGAGUUCGGAAGAGGCGAGUGGAAUUCCCGGUGUAGCGGUGAAAUGCGCAGAUAUCGGGAGGAACACCUAUGGCGAAGGCAGCUCGCUGGGACGUUACUGACGCUGAGGGACGAAAGCUAGGGGAGCGAAUGGG
rnacentral:rRNA from 1 species